rnacentral:rRNA from 1 species
GAUGAACGCUGGCGGCGUGCUUAACACAUGCAAGUCGAACGAAGAUGCCGGAGUGCUUGCACUUUGGCAGACUGAGUGGCGGACGGGUGAGUAACGCGUGAGGAACCUGCCUCAAAGAGGGGGACAACAGUUGGAAACGACUGCUAAUACCGCAUAAGCCCACGGCUCGGCAUCGAGCAGAGGGAAAAGGAGCGAUCCGCUUUGAGAUGGCCUCGCGUCCGAUUAGCUAGUUGGUGAGGUAACGGCCCACCAAGGCGACGAUCGGUAGCCGGACUGAGAGGUUGAAACGGCCACAUUGGGACUGAGACACGGCCCAGACUCCUACGGGAGGCAGCAGUGGGGAAUAUUGCACAAUGGGGGAAACCCUGAUGCAGCGACGCCGCGUGGAGGAAGAAGGUCUUCGGAUUGUAAACUCCUGUUGUUGAGGAAGAUAAUGACGGUACUCAACAAGGAAGUGACGGCUAACUACGUG